GGGGUUGUAGCUCUGCGGUAGAGCACUUGCCUUGCAUGUGUGAGACACUGGGUUCGAUCCCCAGCACCA
rnacentral:tRNA from 1 species